rnacentral:rRNA from 1 species
GACGAACGCUGGCGGCGUGCUUAACACAUGCAAGUCGAACGGAAAGGCCCUGCUUGCCGGGUACUCGAGUGGCGAACGGGUGAGUAACACGUGGGUGAUCUGCCCUGCACUUCGGGAUAAGCCUGGGAAACUGGGUCUAAUACCGGAUAGGAGCCAUUUUUAGUGUGAUGGUUGGAAAGUUUUUUCGGUGUAGGAUGAGCUCGCGGCCUAUCAGCUUGUUGGUGGGGUAAUGGCCUACCAAGGCGGCGACGGGUAGCCGGCCUGAGAGGGUGGACGGCCACAUUGGGACUGAGGUGCGGCCCAGGUUCCUACGGGUGGCAGCAGGGGGGAAGAUUGCACAAUGGGCGCAAGCCUGAUGCAGCGAGGCCGCGGGGGGGAUGACGGCCUUCGGGUUGAAAACUCCUUUCGCUAGGGACGAAGCUUUUUGUGACGGUACCUAGAGAAGAAGCACCGGCUAACUACGUG